ensembl:lncRNA
CACCUGCCUUCACUAAUCAAGGUUGUCUUAAGACUUGCAUGCCUUCCAGGCAGCAUGUCACUUGAACAAUAAUAUGUUUGCCUGAGUUAUUUUCCAAGAACUUGGAGUCAGCUGUGGCUAGUUUCAGCUGAGCAGGCUUAGACUAAAUAGGACCACAAACCCUUCAACUGGGCAUGCGUGAACGUCUUCCAUGCCCUUUUGAUUUUGGACGGCUGCAAACCCCCCUCAGAACGUGCGGAUGCCUGGAGCCUAGUUAAACCUGCGCGGAAAGACAGUGACUGCACUUUUCUCAAGUCACCUUUCCCCUUUCCUGAGGGCCUCAUACUGCACUGCUUCUCUCCUCUUUAGCCUAUAAACACCUUGCCUUCAGGGAGGUUGGGUCAAGAUUUGUUCUCCCAAUCUUCCCUUGCCUGUUUUGCGAAUGAACCCUGUCUUUGCUGUAAACCUCUGCAUCUCAGCGUUUUGGCUUGCGAGAUGUCAAGCAAGAGGACCCUGGUUUAGUCGCUGGUUCAGAGAUCUCCUUAGCUUUUGGCUGCACAAAGAAGUGUCCUUGGUUUUCAGGGGAUUUUAAUGAAUAUCCAAUUUAAGGACCAUUGCUUUUGUCUUUGGAUUCAUCAACUAAGAAUUAAGAAGAGGUUAGGAAAAUUCACAUUUCCCCAGAGCCAGCCAUCCCACCGUGGCUUCAUCACAGAAGUCAUUUCAGUUUCACCUCAAUUAGGUCAAGGAAUUGAAGUCUGAACUACAGUGGCCCAAGAGAAAUGCUCAAGUCUAAGGCAGAACCAGGACCCUUGCCAAUCUGACUCCUACAGGUCCUCAGCAGGGAAGGAUUUUUCAUCAUGAAUUAUUACAUGAGUUUUCCUAAAGGGGCUCAUUCCUUUUUUUAAAAUAUAUUUUAAAUAAAUGGCUCAUAGUCAUCAUCAGCUUCUGUGUUUACUUAGGAGAAAUAUUGCUGCUUAUUCUGGACUUGGAGAAUAUAGACUGAGUUCCAUUUUUAACUGUAUGACUUAUUACCUAUGAAACCUUGUCAGGCAGCCUCCCUUCUUUCAACUGUUAUACACCAUAUAAUUCAGUGUUUUCUUAAGAAUUAAAAUUUGUCACAGGCAGAACAAAUGUUAAUUUUUAACUUGAUAUCUGGAAUCCGAGAAUCCUUACUGAAGAGUGGCGAGUUAACUGAGAAAUGACUUAUGCACGAAUUCUGAAUGGUACUUCAGUUGAUAUGUAAACCAAAUCAAUCACCAGGGCUGAAUGGGUAAUUGUAGAGCACUGAGUAAUUGAUCAGUUACUGAAAAGAACUGUCGGUAUGAGGCACAAUUAUAAAACCAGUGCUUAGUGGAUUGACCAUUCAUUUACAUUGUCUUCCCACCACAUUCCUUGCAGUGGCUUUUCUAAACCUUCUCAUUCAAGCCCAUUCCCUCCUGCCUUUUCCUGAACAGUCACUGCAGUGUUCAAUCAAUGGGCCUAAUGACUGCCAUACAAAGCAUAGCAGCCUGCUUUCAUGGAUCAUUUUUAAGGCCUCUUAUCUUCUGUCUCUUCAUCAGCUCAUCAUUUUCUCCUUUUUCAAAUAUUUUCUUCGUGAAGAAGUCUUUGAACUCUAGAUUUACUGUUCCUCCAAUCAAAUGAAUCCCUUCCCUAAAUUAUUAUAAAUCACUACUAAUAUUCUUUUACAAGACUUGACUUAACC